rnacentral:piRNA from 1 species
UAUGAAGCCAUACUGUGUAGAUACUACUAGG